UACGGGGGGGGCAAGCGUUGUUCGGAAUUACUGGGCGUAAAGGGCUUGUAGGUGGCCAACUAAGUCAGACGUGAAAUCCCUCAGCUUAACUGGGGAACUGCGUCUGAUACUGGAUGGCUUGAGUUUGGGAGAGGGACGCGGAAUUCCAGGUGUAGCGGUGAAAUGCGUAGAUAUCUGGAGGAACACCGGUGGCGAAGGCGGCGUCCUGGACCAAUACUGACACUGAAAAGCGAAAGCCAGGGGAGCAAACGGG
rnacentral:rRNA from 1 species